rnacentral:rRNA from 1 species
GAUGAACGCUGGCGGCGUGCCUAAUACAUGCAAGUCGAGCGAACAGACGAGGAGCUUGCUCCUCUGAUGUUAGCGGCGGACGGGUGAGUAACACGUGGAUAACCUCCCUCUAAGACUGGGAUAACUUCGGGAAACCGGAGCUAAUACCGGAUAACAUGUUGAACCGCAUGGUUCAACAGUGAAAGACGGUCUUGCUGUCACUUAUAGAUGGAUCCGCGCCGCAUUAGCUAGUUGGUAAGGUAACGGCGUACCAAGGCAGCGAUGCGUAGCCGACCUGAGAGGGUGAUCGGCCACACUGGAACUGAGACACGGUCCAGACUCCUACGGGAGGCAGCAGUAGGGAAUCUUCCGCAAUGGGCGAAAGCCUGACGGAGCAACGCCGCGUGAGUGAAGAAGGUCUUCGGAUCGUAGAACUCUGUUAUUAGGGAAGAACAAAUGUGUAAGUAACUAUGCACGUCUUGACGGUACCUAAUCAGAAAGCCACGGCUAACUACGUG